CCGUGCUAGAUGGGGAGUUGGCGGUGCCCUGUAACCCGCAAUCCGCCAUAGCGGGGUUGAAUUCCUGUCCGAGGCCGAAGGGUUCCUGGUCUGCCUUGUAAAAAGUCGGCGUUGACAAUUGGGUCCUGCGCAAUAGACAGCUGUGAACGGGUCAGAGCCGGAAGGCAGCAGCCAUAAGCAGUUUUCUCUAUGUGCCGCAGGGUUGCCUAAUCGAGCUGAAUUUUACAAGUAACGCUUGGAUGUUUCGUCCGGAGGCAGGUGCACGG
rnacentral:SRP_RNA from 1 species